rnacentral:rRNA from 1 species
AGCGAACGCUGGCGGCAGGCUUAACACAUGCAAGUCGAACGGGCGUAGCAAUACGUCAGUGGCAGACGGGUGAGUAACGCGUGGGAACAUACCUCUUGGUUCGGAACAACACAGGGAAACUUGUGCUAAUACCGGAUAAGCCCUUACGGGGAAAGAUUUAUCGCCGAGAGAUUGGCCCGCGUCUGAUUAGCUAGUUGGUAGGGUAAUGGCCUACCAAGGCAUCGAUCAGUAGCUGGUCUGAGAGGACGACCAGCCACACUGGGACUGAGACACGGCCCAGACUCCUACGGGAGGCAGCAGUGGGGAAUUUUGGACAAUGGGGGCAACCCUGAUCCAGCAAUGCCGCGUGAGUGAAGAAGGCCUCGGUUGUAAGCUCUUUGUCUA